rnacentral:rRNA from 1 species
UCACACAAGGGACCCAAGUUAAUUGUACGCGGCGUAAAGAGUGGACCCACGAUAUCAUAAUAAUUAGGGCCAAAACGUAACUGAGCUGUCAUAAGCCCAAGGUACACCUAAAACCGCCCUAAAUACGACCCUAAUCCUCAUGAUAAACUAAAUUCCACGAAAGCUAGGGCACAAACUGGGAUUAGAUACCCCACUAUGCCUAGCCUUAAAUCUCGAUGCUUAACCUACCAAAGCAUCCGCCUGAGGACUACGAGCACAAACGCUUAAAACUCUAAGGACUUGGCGGUGCCCCAAACCCACCUAGAGGAGCCUGUUCUGUAAUCGACAACCCACGAUAUACCCGACCACUUCUUGCCAAUAACAGCCUACAUACCGCCGUCGUCAGCCCACCUUACCUGAGAGUUCAGCAGUGGGCACAAUCGCUCCAACCCCCGCUAGUAAGACAGGUCAAGGUAUAGCCCAUGAAGUGGAAGAAAUGGGCUACAUUUUCUAAUUUAGAAAACAUACGGAAAGGGGCGUGAAAUAGCCCCUGGAAGGCGGAUUUAGUAGUAAGGCAGGACUAUAAAGCCCCCCUUAAACCGGCUCUGAGGCACGUACAUACCGCCCGUCACCCUCCUCAUAAGCUUAUUUCACCCCAGUAAAUAACACACGCACCUGCUAAAGAUGAGGUAAGUCGUAACAAGGUAAGUGUACCGG